rnacentral:rRNA from 1 species
AUUGAACGCUGGCGGCAUGCUUUACACAUGCGAGUCGAACGGCAGCGCGGGCUUCGGCCUGGCGGCGAGUGGCGGACGGGUGAGUAAUGCAUCGGAACGUGCCCAGUAGUGGGGGAUAGCCCGGCGAAAGCCGGAUUAAUACCGCAUACGACCUGAGGGUGAAAGCGGGGGACCGAAAGGCCUCGCGCUAUUGGAGCGGCCGAUGUCGGAUUAGCUAGUUGGUGGGGUAAAGGCUUACCAAGGCGACGAUCCGUAGCUGGUCUGAGAGGACGACCAGCCACACUGGGACUGAGACACGGCCCCGACUCCUACGGGAGGCAGCAGUGGGGAAUUUUGGACAAUGGGGGCAACCCUGAUCCAGCCAUGCCGCGUGCGGGAAGAAGGCCUUCGGGUUGUAAACCGCUUUUGUUCGGGAAGAAAUCCUCUGGGCUAAUACCCCGGGGGGAUGACGGUACCGGAAGAAUAAGCACCGGCUAACUACGUG